UGUGUUCUCAAUAAAUUAUGUGUCGUGUUACAUGCACUGUAACUAUACUUUAAUACUUGCAUGGUGCAGUGUGCAUGUACCCGGCUUUAACUAACUGUAUAUGCGUCACUCUAUAUACUACAUGUAUAUACUGUUCAAAGCUGAAGCUAAGUAAAGGUCCAACAGAAGCUAUAAAAGUAUGGCAACGUUACCCGGCAAGUCUAGACUUGCGAGUCCCGGUACCAGUGCAGCUAAUACCUUUCCCAGGCAUGCUAUAACAGUGAUAAAAGAAGGUCGCUUAUACAAACGUCAAAGAGGCACAAAGGCAACUAAUCUAAAGGGUUUGAAGUUUCAGAAGAGAUACUGUGUGCUCUCACCCCACUCACUCGAGUACUAUGAGAAUAAAAAGCAUAUUGAGAUGGGUCUUAACCCUUUCCUUGCCAUUCGUGAAAUCUGGAACAGGAGCGUCUUUAGGUCGAUCAAUUAGUGUGGAUCCGGCCUCACCACGCCUCCAAGUCAUUCUAUUAGUCUAGAUCCGGCUAGCAAUUCUAGCUGGGACUCCCAGUUCUAGCUCCUUUUGUUUAGCGUGUCAGAGACUGGGAGAAGAUGAUUGGCACUCCCUGGCUCCUUUGGAUGUACAGCUGUCCAGAUCCCUAGAACAUACCCUCCAUUCUGACGAGUUAUCAGUGCAUAGGGUGCUUACUAGAUUCUUGCCAGCCAGUACAGUUCAAGCUACACACAGCACCGCUCAACUAUUCUCUACCCCAUUAUCUAGCUAAAUCUGGUCCAACUAGACAGCAGACACAGCUAGUUAAUUCAGUAAAGCCAGGGGUAGCCCUACUUCUACGGUUGUUCAGUACCCACGGUAACAAUUCCUCUGGGCUGGGCUAACUAGUUGAGCCACGCCUCCCAAUUCUCAAGGCUAGGUACAUGUCUCUGUCUAGCUGCUUCUUCAGCUUCUUGCUCAGUUUUGUGGCUUAGAGAAAGGCCAGCUACUCAGGGGGAAGAGUCCAGAUGAAAGUCUGGCAGCCAGGUGACGUCCAAACGGUCAGUUAUUCUUUCCACCAACUUUUUAAUCUAGUCUAGUCCUGCUUGCACUGCUACUACUACUGCUGCCUACUGCUGCUACUCUUCCUAGCUAGUCAAAGGUUUCUUUUUUUUUUUUUAUAACUACAUAUGCACAAAGAGACAUCAAAGCUUACAUCAAAGGACACAGAUUUUUAGCCUACUUGACUGAUAAGGCGGUUACCUAGACUACAGUUUGUUUGUCAGGGAGGAGCUCACAUACAACUUCAUCUAAUUCAUCAUAACGAUUCCUUACCCAUUGUUGUAAUUUCUACAACAGAUUGCCAAGGAAAGAGAUAAUUACAACAGAAUUUACAACAGAGUGGGUUAGGGCCUCUCAUAUACAACUGAAUUCUUUAUCACAAUUUUAUUAAUCAUUGAAAUAAUACCCCUUUCCUCCCCUCUCCAAGGCCAAUUUAGACCAGGAGAGUACCAUCUAACAAAAAUCAGUCACACAGCACAUUAGCUAGCACAUGUGUGUCCGAUAACAGAGUGUCCUUUGCAUAUUCUUAUGCGACAGUGGGGACAUGCCAUUGCAGUGUGUUGCUGCUCUCUGCUAGGGAUCUUCUCCCGAACACACACUUGACAGCGCCCACGAGACACUCCGACACUAUUUGCACUCACACGUGCGCCCUGUGAUGGGGGGAAAACGAUAUUUAGACUGGCCAGACCUGAGGCACUGCUACGAGUACGUGGCACACCCAAUAGACUAUGAAUUAGUUCCAAUCGAAACCCUUUCAAAGGCAUGGCCUUUGAACCCACCCUGACACAGUUGUGCCUGUAUAGAAUGUAUGCAUUAUUCACACUAACGUCAAGGAAUUGAAAGAAAAUCCUGAACCAAUACCGCCGACACUUUCUAUCGUACCCAUAGGUUUUCCUCAUACGCCCUGUAUUGUCAACUCCUCCCAUGUACAUGUUAUAUGCAGGGAGACAGGGGGGGACACUCUGAGAGCGUAGGGUACCGUCUUUGUGCAUUCGCAUUACAGUGUGGGGCAUAUGGUCAGGGAACACAUUUGUUGCAAAGGACACAACUCUACGGUCGUUAAACAUAGAGUAAGAAAUAUCACCAACAGUCAUGGACGUAUAGUCACCUUUGUCGAGUACCACAUCCUUAAGACUUGCUGGGAAACCAGCAGCAUUCUUCAAAAUUGUGCCGACAGUAAACACAUUUUGCUUAGCCAACUCUUCUAUCAAUGGACCGGACGUGUAAAAGUUGUCCAUGUACACAACAUGCUGAUGACCAUAAAAAGGAGUGAGUAAACGAUGGACUACAUUUUUCACAAGCCCUUUCACAGCUAUCUUUUUCCCAGAGGAAUCGGUGAGCUUACCACUGUAUACAUCAAACACACAGAGAUACCCACAGCAUGAACAUGAGCAGCACCAUACCUUGAACCCCAGUUUAACAGGCUUCUUGGGCAUAUGAAUUUUCCCGCUUUUACGACCCUUGUACUUUAUCAUCAUCUCAUCAACGGAAAGCUCCUGACUGGGAUUAUACCUCAUGAAGUAGUUGGCUUUAAGAGUCUCUAAAACAGUUUUUAGCUUGCUAGUUACCUUACGUGCAUCAGUGAUGGACGUAUUGUCCUCACAGUGCAGAUACCGCCAUAAACUUUGGAACCUUUUGAGCGACAUUACAUUGCUCACACAUUGUACACCUAAAAGGGGAUCCUUGGACCAGUAGUCCGUAAUUUCAGGGAGCCUAUGAAUGCCCAUCUCUAGUACAAUCCCCAAAAACACCCACAAUUCGGCACUGUUUGUAGCUGACCAACCCUUAGCACCACACUGCCUAGCGUACAGGUUGGUCUGUUCGGC